AUUAUCCCGAGCCUGGGAGAUGUUGACACCCCCCCCCCUUUCCCUGGGCCAGUGUCAGCCCCAGGCACUGUGCUGAGGUUGUGUAGAAAGGGGCAGGCUCCCCCUGGAGAUCCCCACCCAGGGAUCCCCGGGCAACACUCCUCCAAGGACUUUUCUUCUCUAGGAACUCGCUUCUGUCAGCCUCUCUUGUCUGUCCACUGGCUCCUAAGCCUUCCAUCUGCAAGUUCAGUUUCUAAGUCAACAGGACCCCCAGACAGGCCUCCGGUCCCCUUGGGGGAACUGUCAGGAUCUGUGUGUGUGUGUGUUGCAAGCAAGCUCAUUGCAUGGACCUGGCACAGGCGGGAUCCAGCUCCCUUCCAGGGCCACGUGACCCUGGCAGCAUUACUCACUUGGGUGCCCUCCAGCAGGGGCAGCUGGGGACACCUCCCUAGAGUGACUACAGCGUUUAUCACGGGGAUGACUCAGCCCGCCCGAGCCUCUCUCUCCCUGAAAAGGGAAUCUGAGGCCAGGGCCGGGGUGAGAGUGUCCAUUAGACCAUCUAUAGCCUCGGGAGCCCGGAAACUCCCCUCACCUGGGAAGCACGCAGGACGGACGGACGGGAUGAGUAAAGCUCAGGACCUCCGAGACGUCUCACUUUCACCAUUCAUUCGGGGCGCUGGGAGGUGGAGGCCUCAGCAUUUCCUAACUUAUUUUUUUAUGAAGCACUCGCCUCACCCAGUAGACUGAGAGUGUGCUCCCCGUUGACCUCAGCUCAGAAAGAAGGGAAGUCUGAUGCUAAGCUCCUCUUCCUCUACCACGGGCUCCACGCACCCCAAGACCCCCCGGGAGGUCCCGAUCCUCCUUCAGAACCAGAGCACAAGGACCGUCUUUCAUGCUCUUUUCUUGGUAGAACCUGACCUGUUGCAGAGCCGAGCGCCCCGCCUCUGUCUUGGGCACGUGACAGUCAGCCCUCAGGAACUUAGGUCCAGACCAAUAACGGACUUGUUGGCAUCCCCUCAUCUCCCAGUUAUGAAUUCCUUGGGUUCCGUGUGUCUCUACGUUCCAGUUGGUAGCACCUAACGAGUCUGCUGAAUGGAUUUUCCCUUAGUUUGAAUCCCUGCCUGGUUUGGCCAUAAGAAAACAAAUACCAUUCAUGGGGUGUGUGACAUAGACGCUGGUGCUCCCCAAUUAUUCCAUGAGAUCCUGCAUAUUUUCCAGCCUUCCUGGCACUUAGCAUGGAGCCAGGUGACAAAUUUAAGUUCACGGGCUCAAGGGGGAGUGAAGCAAUGCACAGCACUUGCCACCCGAGGACAUCGAGGAGGCUGAAAGCUGCACGCAUCUGCCGCGGUGGCUGGAAGCGAAGAACGCUGAGACGGUGAAGGGGCCACAGGGAGCAUUGCUAAGCGCACCACUGCUGAAAGGCGGCCACCAGAGAGGAUGGGCUGACCUGUAUCAGACUGCUCCGAAAGUGACAAAUAAGCCUCUGGCUUUGGAGGUUUGCUGCCACAGCAAAACUUAGCUUUACCCUGACCAACCGCGGGUGAGUUUCACAAGCUGAAAGUGUAAGGAGGAGACAAGCCCGUGGAAUAUGACAGCAUCACCGCGGGUGAGUUUCACAAGCUGAAAGUGUAAGGAGGAGACAAGCCCGUGGAAUAUGACAGCAUCACUGGCUAGCAACAUCUUCUGAUAUCCUGGAAUUAGUCGGGAUGGGCCAUGGAUCUGGAUCUGAAACUUUUAAAUCGAAAUGGGGACAAGAGCAUCCCUAUGACGUCAUUGGAGAAUCUGAGGCAUAGAGAAGCGAAGGGAUGGGCUUCUCGGAUUAGGAGUGAGCGAAGCAUGAGAACAGAGACCUCAAUUUCCCCUGGGCUGUUUCCCACCCUUCCUAGUUGGGAUUUCUCCUCCCCCAGCAUUUGUGCCCUUUGAGUUAGUAUUCUAGGCAUGAGACUGACCUAUUUCGAAGUGGGACAGGUUGGCGUCUCUAAAGCGGGUUCCACAGAAGACUCUGUUUUGAAGCAACAUGGUGGUAAAGAGGUUAACACUGAAUGGGAGUUUUACUUCCAGGCAGGGAUCUCGAGCCCUGGUGGAAAGACUGCAGCUGCCCUGUGGCCCAGAUAAUGCAACAUCGGGCUGAGCAAGGACAUCUGAGAACAUUCUGUUCUCCUCCCCCGAGACCAAUUAAAAUCUGGAGGCAUCUUUCUUGUUGAUCGAGCUGACUAACUAAUUGAAACGGAAUUGUGAUAUUUUCAUCAGCUUUCUCUUAUCCCUCUUGGCCUUGCCAGCAGAGAGCAAGUUGAAUGAUCAGAGAGUUUCAAGCAUGUGAGGCCCAGGGAACGGAACCCCUCUCACCGUAAACCACUACAUUUCCACGGAACAAGGUUCGAAAAAGGAUGAUGCGGGGUCGAGAGUAGGGCGAUACGCUCAAAUCUCAGUCUCAGUUCAUCCAGAUACCAAAGAUACCAUCUUCGGGAUUCCUGAUGAACCAUAAAGCUGUCCUUCAGCAGUUGCUGCUCCAAUAAACCAGCUUCUGACCUCUGCCUUCCUAACGAACAUCCCUCUGCCUGACUGCGGAAGCUCCUAGAAACAAAGAACCAAACGCCUCUGAGGCCCAACAAGAUCCCUUUCCUUCCAUUGAGCUAGAAUGUAUUUCCUCGGCACGUGCAAAUGGCCUAGUGGUUAAUCUUAGCAAUUGUCCCAAAGGACAUCCAAGCCUCUGGGAAUGGGUUACAUGAUUGAGAUUGCAGGACCUUUUUCUGCUUCAGCAUGAAGACCUGCAUGUUAGCAUUUGUGAGGAGAGCUCAAGAUGGGGGGAAGUCCUCUUGGCUCCUGAUCUAAGGAAGAGCUGCGUCUUAAGCAUUGGUAGAAUUGCUCAUGUGUCCAGUGUGAGGUGGCCUUGGCUGACAAGCUAUCAAAAUAAAUAAAUAACAAGAAAAUGGACAA
rnacentral:lncRNA from 9 species